UACAGAGGGUGCAAGCGUUGCUCGGAAUUAUUGGGCGUAAAGGGUAGGUAGGCGGUCUUAUUUGUCUGGGGUGAAAGCCUUGAGCUUAACUCAAGAAGUGCCCCAGAAACGGUAAGACUGGAGUCCUGGAGAGGGGCGUGGAAUUCCCGGUGUAGCGGUGAAAUGCGUAGAGAUCGGGAGGAACACCAGAGGCGAAGGCGGCGACCUGGACAGGCACUGACACUCAACUACGAAAGCGAGGGGAGCAAACAGG
rnacentral:rRNA from 1 species